CAGCCGCCACGGUAAUACGAGGGGGGCAAGCGUUGUUCGGAAUUAUUGGGCGUAAAGGGCGCGUAGGCGGUUUGACAAGUCUUGUGUGAAAUCUCUGGGCUCAACCCAGAGUCUGCACGGGAAACUGUCGGGCUAGAGGAUGGGAGAGGUGAGUGGAAUUUCCGGUGUAGCGGUGAAAUGCGUAGAUAUCGGAAGGAACACCUGUGGCGAAAGCGGCUCACUGGACCAUUACUGACGCUGAGGCGCGAAAGCUAGGGGAGCAAACAGGAUUAGAUACCCCGGUAGUCCCUGUCUCUUAUAC
rnacentral:rRNA from 1 species